GUAUUUCCAUUGAUGUUUAUUUCCAGUGAUUCAGUGCAGUCAAGAGCUGAAAAAUGGUAUGAAGUUCAAAGCAUACACAUAAAUUAGUUGAUUUUUAACAUAGGUGCAUUCACCUACCUGUUAGAUGUUUAUAGCUGCAUGAGUUCUUUAUAUGAAAAAAUAAUGGCUUGCUAUCAUCAAAGAAAUACCAAGCUAAUCACUUUCUUUGCACAGUCCUGGACUGAUUAGCCAGUAUGGAAGUAUAAACAAUAUUAUGUUUGAUCACUUGUGUAUUUAUUUUAAAAGGCUGCAGGAAAUCUUCUAUUUUAAACAGUGAAAUAGACACAGCAGUUGGGACUUUGCAAUCUACUGAUUAGAAAUACUGGUAUUCGAAUCUCUUUUCUAAAUGAGCAUACCUUUUUUCUUGGAGAUUAAGACGAUAUCCAGCUAAAAAGACUGUAUACCAUACCUAAAGGAUUAUAUUAUCUAUAAUCUACAUGCACUAUCACUGCUCUUUGACACCACAUUAAAUCCUUUCUUCAAGAUGAACAGAUAUUCUCUGUGUUUGUUUACAUGGAGAUUAUGGGCCUGAUCCUGAGAGGUGCUGAGAGCUUUCAAUUUUGAGUUAUUUCAGUAGCUACCGGGGACACUCAGCAGGCAGCCGGACCUAACCCUGUGGCAAAAAGCAGUAACUGAUCACUAGUUUAA